rnacentral:rRNA from 1 species
CACUCCUGCGGGAGGCAGCAGUGGGGAAUAUUGCACAAUGGGCGCAAGCCUGAUGCAGCCAUGCCGCGUGUAUGAAGAAGGCCUUCGGGUUGUAAAGUACUUUCAGCGGGGAGGAAGGCAAUACGGUUAAUAACCGUGUUGAUUGACGUUACCCGCAGAAGAAGCACCGGCUAACUCCGUGCCAGCAGCCGCGGUAAUACGGAGGGUGCAAGCGUUAAUCGGAAUUACUGGGCGUAAAGCGCACGCAGGCGGUCUGUCAAGUCGGAUGUGAAAUCCCCGGGCUCAACCUGGGAACUGCAUUCGAAACUGGCAGGCUUGAGUCUUGUAGAGGGGGGUAGAAUUCCAGGUGUAGCGGUGAAAUGCGUAGAGAUCUGGAGGAAUACCGGUGGCGAAGGCGGCCCCCUGGACAAAGACUGACGCUCAGGUGCGAAAGCGUGGGGAGCAAACAGGAUUAGAAACCCUUGUAGUCCCAUGAU